UGUGGGUGGGGUGGAAAGAUU
rnacentral:miRNA from 1 species